rnacentral:rRNA from 1 species
UGGUCAUUUAGAGGAAGUAAAAGUCGUAACAAGGUCUCCGUUGGUGAACCAGCGGAGGGAUCAUUACCGAGUUUACAACUCCCAAACCCAAUGUGAACGUUACCAAACUGUUGCCUCGGCGGGGUCACGCCCCGGGUGCGUCGCAGCCCCGGAACCAGGCGCCCGCCGGAGGAACCAACCAAACUCUUUCUGUAGUCCCCUCGCGGACGUAUUUCUUACAGCUCUGAGCAAAAAUUCAAAAUGAAUCAAAACUUUCAACAACGGAUCUCUUGGUUCUGGCAUCGAUGAAGAACGCAGCGAAAUGCGAUAAGUAAUGUGAAUUGCAGAAUUCAGUGAAUCAUCGAAUCUUUGAACGCACAUUGCGCCCGCCAGUAUUCUGGCGGGCAUGCCUGUCCGAGCGUCAUUUCAACCCUCGAACCCCUCCGGGGGAUCGGCGUUGGGGAUCGGGACCCCUCACACGGGUGCCGGCCCCUAAAUACAGUGGCGGUCUCGCCGCAGCCUCUCCUGCGCAGUAGUUUGCACAACUCGCACCGGGAGCGCGGCGCGCCCACGUCCGUAAAACACCCAACUUUCUGAAAUGUUGACCUCGGAUCAGGUAGGAAUACCCGCUGAACUUAAGCAUAUCAA